UAUGUAGCAGAAAUUUUCACAAAAUAAAAUCCCUUACAAAAUAUAUGAGUUCCUAAUUACAUAUACAACUAAGGCCAGAAGUUACGAUAAAAAAUAAAAUAACAAAAUACAAAAGAGGACCACUUUUAUCAUUAUGUAAAUGGACUGAUCAGAGUCCAAAAUAAGACAUGCACUUGUCAACGAUCAUGGAUCUACGGGAUCCAAGCAAGCUUCAAGGGGUAACUCGGACAACUCAUCGCAAACAUUCUUUC
rnacentral:lncRNA from 1 species